rfam:Cariama cristata contig10111, whole genome shotgun sequence.
UUCCUUCUAAAAAGCUCUUGUUGGGUCUGUGCUUGUGGCUCAGUGAGAUGUCGUGGAAGGAGACAGCAAUAAUAUCACUUCUGGGUGAAAUGGCAGCCCGUGCUGUUCACUUCAAUCAGUGAUUUGACAAGG